rnacentral:miRNA from 1 species
UGUUUUCCCAACUCACUUGCA